rnacentral:rRNA from 1 species
AUUGAACGCUGGCGGCAUGCCUUACACAUGCAAGUCGAACGGCAGCAUGAUCUAGCUUGCUCGAUUGAUGGCGAGUGGCGAACGGGUGAGUAAUACAUCGGAACGUGCCCUGUAGUGGGGGAUAACUAGUCGAAAGAUUAGCUAAUACCGCAUACGACCUGAGGGUGAAAGUGGGGGACCGCAAGGCCUCAUGCUAUAGGAGCGGCCGAUGUCUGAUUAGCUAGUUGGUGAGGUAAAGGCUCACCAAGGCGACGAUCAGUAGCUGGUCUGAGAGGACGAUCAGCCACACUGGGACUGAGACACGGCCCAGACUCCUACGGGAGGCAGCAGUGGGGAAUUUUGGACAAUGGGCGAAAGCCUGAUCCAGCAAUGCCGCGUGUGUGAAGAAGGCCUUCGGGUUGUAAAGCACUUUUGUCCGGAAAGAAAUGGCUCUGGUUAAUACCUGGGGUCGAUGACGGUACCGGAAGAAUAAGGACCGGCUAACUACGCG